rnacentral:rRNA from 1 species
UACGAAGGGGCUAGCGUUGCUCGGAAUCACUGGGCGUAAAGCGCACGUAGGCGGAUUGCUAAGUCAGGGGUGAAAUCCUGGAGCUCAACUCCAGAACUGCCUUUGAUACUGGCGAUCUUGAGGUCCGGGAGAGGUGAGUGGAACUGCGAGUGUAGAGGUGAAAUUCGUAGAUAUUCGCAAGAACACCGGUGGCGAAGGCGGAUCUCUGGGCCGAUACUGACGCUGAGGAGCGAAAGCGUGGGGAGCGAACAGG